UACGAAGGGGCUAGCGUUGCUCGGAAUCACUGGGCGUAAAGGGUGCGUAGGCGGGUUUUAAGUCAGGGUGAAAUCCUGGAGCUCAACUCCAGAACUGCCUUUGAUACUGAAGAUCUUGAGUCCGGGAGAGGUGAGUGGAACUGCGAGUGUAGAGGUGAAAUUCGUAGAUAUUCGCAAGAACACCAGUGGCGAAGGCGGCUCACUGGCCGGUACUGACGCUGAGGCACGAAGCGUGGGAGCAAACAGG
rnacentral:rRNA from 1 species